rnacentral:rRNA from 1 species
CUGAUGCAGCGACGCCGCGUGAGGGAUGACGGCCUUCGGGUUGUAAACCUCUGUUAGCAUCGAAGAAGCGAAAGUGACGGUAGGUGCAGAGAAAGCGCCGGCUAACUACGUGCCAGCAGCCGCGGUAAUACGUAGGGCGCGAGCGUUGUCCGGAAUUAUUGGGCGUAAAGAGCUUGUAGGCGGUUGGUCGCGUCUGCUGUGAAAGGCCGGGGCUUAACUCCGGUUUUGCAGUGGGUACGGGCUAACUAGAGUGCAGUAGGGGAGACUGGAAUUCCUGGUGUAGCGGUGGAAUGCACAGAUAUCAGGAGGAACACCGAUGGCGAAGGCAGGUCUCUGGGCUGUAACUGACGCUGAGAAGCGAAAGCAUGGGGAGCGAACA